rnacentral:lncRNA from 1 species
GCUUUGUUAACUACUUGUAAUUCACAGAACAGAUUUUCAGAAGGCAUUUCUCUGGAUUGUCACUAAAUUCUGUCAGCUCUGCAAUGAUGGAAGCCUCCAGCAUUGCGAGUAUGAUUAGGUGCAGAGGAAUCUAAGGAAACCAUCAGCAACCACUCAGCUUUCUUCACGCCCUUGCAAUGCUGCAGCAAGACAGAAGAUGAUGCAAAUGAGCAGUGGCCUCUGAGUGGUGAAAUAACCCAUCAGUAGCCCCAGAUGGCAUUAUUUUUCCAAGUGCUGUCUCUGAUGAUGUCACCCCGAUCCCUGUUCUCCAGCUGCAGAGUUCCAGGCAGAAAGAAGAAGAUUCGAUAUAAAUACAGAAAAUAAAGCUUUCAGGCUUUCUUCAUUCAUCAAAAGUCAAGGUAGAGGAGACUGGAGAGUACAGGGGAUGCCAACAUAAACUAUUUU